AUUGAACGCUGGCGGCAGGCCUAACACAUGCAAGUCGAACGGUAACAGGAAGAAGCUUGCUUCUUUGCUGACGAGUGGCGGACGGGUGAGCAAUGUCAGGGAAACUGCCUGAUGGAGGGGGAUAACUACUGGAAACGGUAGCUAAUACCGCAUAACGUCGCAAGACCAAAGAGGGGGACCUUCGGGCCUCUUGCCAUCGGAUGUGCCCAGAUGGGAUUAGCUAGUAGGUGGGGUAACGGCUCACCGAGGCGACGAUCCCUAGCUGGUCUGAGAGGAUGACCAGCCACACUGGAACUGAGACACGGUCCAGACUCCUACGGGAGGCAGCAGUGGGGUAUAUUGCACAAUGGGCGCAAGCCUGAUGCAGCCAUGCCGCGUGUAUGAAGAAGGCCUUCGGGUUGUAAAGUACUUUCGGCGGGGAGGAAGGGAGUAAAGUUAAUACCUUUGCUCAUUGACGUUACCCGCAGAAUAAGCACCGGCUAACUCCGUG
rnacentral:rRNA from 1 species